rnacentral:rRNA from 1 species
GACGAACCGUGCGAACGUUGUUCGGAAUCACUGGGCUUAAAGGGCGCGUAGGCGGCCCGCCGCGUCCGGGGUGAAAUCCUCCCGCUCAACGGGAGAACGGCCUCGGAUACGGGCGGGCUGGAGGGGGUAGGGGCAGGCGGAACUGUGGGUGGAGCGGUGAAAUGCGUUGAGAUCCACAGGAACUCCGGUGGCGAAGGCGGCCUGCUGGACCCCAUCUGACGCUGAGGCGCGAAAGCCAGGGGAGCGAACGGG